rnacentral:rRNA from 1 species
GGUUAAGCGACUAAGCGUACACGGUGGAUGCCCUGGCAGUCAGAGGCGAUGAAGGACGUGCUAAUCUGCGAUAAGCGUCGGUAAGGUGAUAUGAACCGUUAUAACCGGCGAUUUCCGAAUGGGGAAACCCAGUGUGUUUCGACACACUAUCAUUAACUGAAUCCAUAGGUUAAUGAGGCGAACCGGGGGAACUGAAACAUCUAAGUACCCCGAGGAAAAGAAAUCAACCGAGAUUCCCCCAGUAGCGGCGAGCGAACGGGGAGCAGCCCAGAGCCUGAAUCAGUGUGUGUGUUAGUGGAAGCGUCUGGAAAGGCGCGCGAUACAGGGUGACAGCCCCGUACACAAAAAUGCACAUGCUGUGAGCUCGAUGAGUAGGGCGGGACACGUGGUAUCCUGUCUGAAUAUGGGGGGACCAUCCUCCAAGGCUAAAUACUCCUGACUGACCGAUAGUGAACCAGUACCGUGAGGGAAAGGCGAAAAGAACCCCGGCGAGGGGAGUGAAAAAGAACCUGAAACCGUGUACGUACAAGCAGUGGGAGCACGCUUAGGCGUGUGACUGCGUACCUUUUGUAUAAUGGGUCAGCGACUUAUAUUCUGUAGCAAGGUUAACCGAAUAGGGGAGCCGAAGGGAAACCGAGUCUUAACUGGGCGUUAAGUUGCAGGGUAUAGACCCGAAACCCGGUGAUCUAGCCAUGGGCAGGUUGAAGGUUGGGUAACACUAACUGGAGGACCGAACCGACUAAUGUUGAAAAAUUAGCGGAUGACUUGUGGCUGGGGGUGAAAGGCCAAUCAAACCGGGAGAUAGCUGGUUCUCCCCGAAAGCUAUUUAGGUAGCGCCUCGUGAAUUCAUCUCCGGGGGUAGAGCACUGUUUCGGCAAGGGGGUCAUCCCGACUUACCAACCCGAUGCAAACUGCGAAUACCGGAGAAUGUUAUCACGGGAGACACACGGCGGGUGCUAACGUCCGUCGUGAAGAGGGAAACAACCCAGACCGCCAGCUAAGGUCCCAAAGUCAUGGUUAAGUGGGAAACGAUGUGGGAAGGCCCAGACAGCCAGGAUGUUGGCUUAGAAGCAGCCAUCAUUUAAAGAAAGCGUAAUAGCUCACUGGUCGAGUCGGCCUGCGCGGAAGAUGUAACGGGGCUAAACCAUGCACCGAAGCUGCGGCAGCGACACUAUGUGUUGUUGGGUAGGGGAGCGUUCUGUAAGCCUGUGAAGGUGUACUGUGAGGUAUGCUGGAGGUAUCAGAAGUGCGAAUGCUGACAUAAGUAACGAUAAAGCGGGUGAAAAGCCCGCUCGCCGGAAGACCAAGGGUUCCUGUCCAACGUUAAUCGGGGCAGGGUGAGUCGACCCCUAAGGCGAGGCCGAAAGGCGUAGUCGAUGGGAAACAGGUUAAUAUUCCUGUACUUGGUGUUACUGCGAAGGGGGGACGGAGAAGGCUAUGUUGGCCGGGCGACGGUUGUCCCGGUUUAAGCGUGUAGGCUGGUUUUCCAGGCAAAUCCGGAAAAUCAAGGCUGAGGCGUGAUGACGAGGCACUACGGUGCUGAAGCAACAAAUGCCCUGCUUCCAGGAAAAGCCUCUAAGCAUCAGGUAACAUCAAAUCGUACCCCAAACCGACACAGGUGGUCAGGUAGAGAAUACCAAGGCGCUUGAGAGAACUCGGGUGAAGGAACUAGGCAAAAUGGUGCCGUAACUUCGGGAGAAGGCACGCUGAUAUGUAGGUGAAGUCCCUCGCGGAUGGAGCUGAAAUCAGUCGAAGAUACCAGCUGGCUGCAACUGUUUAUUAAAAACACAGCACUGUGCAAACACGAAAGUGGACGUAUACGGUGUGACGCCUGCCCGGUGCCGGAAGGUUAAUUGAUGGGGUCAGCGCAAGCGAAGCUCUUGAUCGAAGCCCCGGUAAACGGCGGCCGUAACUAUAACGGUCCUAAGGUAGCGAAAUUCCUUGUCGGGUAAGUUCCGACCUGCACGAAUGGCGUAAUGAUGGCCAGGCUGUCUCCACCCGAGACUCAGUGAAAUUGAACUCGCUGUGAAGAUGCAGUGUACCCGCGGCAAGACGGAAAGACCCCGUGAACCUUUACUAUAGCUUGACACUGAACAUUGAGCCUUGAUGUGUAGGAUAGGUGGGAGGCUUUGAAGUGUGGACGCCAGUCUGCAUGGAGCCGACCUUGAAAUACCACCCUUUAAUGUUUGAUGUUCUAACGUGGACCCGUAAUCCGGGUUGCGGACAGUGUCUGGUGGGUAGUUUGACUGGGGCGGUCUCCUCCUAAAGAGUAACGGAGGAGCACGAAGGUUGGCUAAUCCUGGUCGGACAUCAGGAGGUUAGUGCAAUGGCAUAAGCCAGCUUGACUGCGAGCGUGACGGCGCGAGCAGGUGCGAAAGCAGGUCAUAGUGAUCCGGUGGUUCUGAAUGGAAGGGCCAUCGCUCAACGGAUAAAAGGUACUCCGGGGAUAACAGGCUGAUACCGCCCAAGAGUUCAUAUCGACGGCGGUGUUUGGCACCUCGAUGUCGGCUCAUCACAUCCUGGGGCUGAAGUAGGUCCCAAGGGUAUGGCUGUUCGCCAUUUAAAGUGGUACGCGAGCUGGGUUUAGAACGUCGUGAGACAGUUCGGUCCCUAUCUGCCGUGGGCGCUGGAGAA